rnacentral:rRNA from 1 species
AUGGGGUGCUCCAAACAAGACUGCCUUCCUCUCUUUCUCAUACAAGGCAUGCAGAAUAUUUGCGGCAAUGUUCUUAUUUCAGAAGUCUGCUCUGCACAAGUACACAUGGCUGGAAACCUUGGUGCUGAGACUCUUCGUGGGUUGUAUCCAGUUGAGAGUAUUUCAAAGGCUGAGAAGGUCUUCAACCAGGAUUUCUACUUCAAGCGAACCAUGAAAUACGUGGGAGAACCCAUGAUCCACUUGGAGUCUAUUACUUCCUCUCCGGUGCGGGCUGCUAUUAAAGUUCAGGCUUCGGUCAUCAUUUGCUUCACCUCAUCUGGAUAG